CCUACGGGAGGCAGCAGUGAGGAAUAUUGGUCAAUGGACGAGAGUCUGAACCAGCCAAGUAGCGUGAAGGAUGACUGCCCUAUGGGUUGUAAACUUCUUUUAUAAAGGAAUAAAACGAGGCACGUGUGCCUUUUUGUAUGUACUUUAUGAAUAAGGAUCGGUUAACUCCGUGCCAGCAGCCGCGGUAAUACGGAGGAUCCGAGCGUUAUCCGGAUUUAUUGGGUUUAAAGGGAGCGUAGAUGGGUUGUUAAGUCAGUUGUGAAAGUUUGCGGCUCAACCGUGAAAUUGCAAUUGAUACUGGCAGUCUUGAGUACAGUUGAGGUAGGCGGAAUUCGUGGUGUAGCGGUGAAAUGCUUAGAUAUCACGAAGAACCCCGAUUGCGAAGGCAGCUUACUAAACUGUGACUGACAUUGAUGCUCGAAAGUGUGGGUAUCAAACAGGAUUAGAUACCCCUGUAGUC
rnacentral:rRNA from 1 species